GACCUGGGUUGGUAAGAUGAUCUGGAUUUGUAAAAUGAUCUGGAUCGAUUCCAUGCACUAACUGGAAACUGUGAUCGUGAUCUGGUUCUAUAUGGUGAUCAGGAUCGAACAGGUGAUCUAGUUUGCAGUUGCGAUCUGGCUUGAUUUGGUGAUCUGGAUUGGUUAGGUGAUCUGGAUCGGUCCGGUGAUCUACAUCGUUG